rnacentral:tRNA from 1 species
CCGACCUUAGCUCAGUUGGUAGAGCGGAGGACUGUAGUGGUAUCCCAGACAUCCUUAGGUCGCUGGUUCGAAUCCGGCAGGUCGGA